UUGCUAAAGCUAUGAGAAUAAGAAGAUUUGAUAACAGAAAGUAUAAAAUUAGCAGUACAAAAAGUCAUCUCCAAUACGCUGCAGGUGGUUUCUAAAGUGUAUUCGUGUCUCUUAUAGAAAAAUUCGCCAUUGCUAAUUGAGUCUCAGGCAGGUCUCUAGGGAUUGUUUACAAGGCCAUAUCCAACAUGAAUCGUACUCUCCUCGUCUGUGUUCUAUCUCUGCUUAUGAUUUCGGUUAUUUUGGCAAAGAACUCACACAGAACUAAAAUCAGAAAUAAAGACGCGCCAUCAUCAAGAGACUUUAACGACAACUAUGGCUUUGGUUCCAACGAGGGCUACGAGGCAGCUGAAGACCAACAGGAUGCCUCUGAUUUUCAGGCAAAUCAAUAUUAUCAAAAUAGGUGAACAAGUCUCUGCAUGAGCUGGAAAACGAAGUGGAUGACAAAAAAUAUCAGUUUUACCGAACACAUCUCCAGAGCACAAUAUAUACUAUUCGUAGCAUAAAUUAGUAAUAUAUCAACAAAAGCAUUUCUUUUAAUUGUUUCUUCAAACUACCAGAAUAAAAAAUAUUACAACAGUUAAUCCAUAUAUACAUAUUAUAUUAACUGCUCUGGUGUUUAUUUUUAUUGUUUUUGGUUAAAUUUAUAUAUAUUUGAAAGCAAAAAAAAAAAAAAAAAAGCUGAAAAUAUUAAUGUUCAAAGGAAAAAAUAAAUGAAAUUUGUUUGUUAUGUGAAAUCUAUUGUAUUUUAAGGUUGAAAAGGAGACUGAUGUCAAAUGUCCACUAUUAAAUUGAUGUUUUCUUGAUCUUG